GAAAUGAGAAAAGGGAAGGGGGAUGGGAAAUCCCUCCCAGUUAGGAUGCUAUAUAAACAAAUCCAGAAGAGGAAGAAGAAAAGGAAGCUAGGACGGUGCAGAAGGAGUCUUCGGAGAUUCUCAUCACUUGUCCCCGGAUAUGUCCGUGGAUUCGCAGUCACGGGCUCACUUAGGUUACUCCUGCGGCUGCAGGAUUAAAAACAUCCACUCUGGUCACCUCGUGGAUAAUAAGACCCUGGGCCAGAGGAAGCCAGGCAGGGAAGCUGCAUUUGUCUUCAUUCUCUUCUUCCAAGGCUGGGCCAUGGUGACAGCAGAGAGCCAGCGUAGAGAUCUAGGAGCCUAGCCGGAGAGCAGCUGAAGGUGGUGGUGGUGGUAGAGAGUGCUGGAGCAGCAGCAGCAACAGCAGCAGCAGAAAAGCAGCAUCGACAGAAAACAAGGAGUAGGAAAACAUCUUGGAAGAGGCACCAGGUUCCUAGAGCCUUCAGAGCCUUCGAAAACAGAAAAAUGAUCUUUGGGCUGGAAAGAAAAUAAUAAAAAUGUACAAGAAGUUGAAGCUCUGAGAACAUACAACUGCCUUCAUUGAGUUCAGGUUAUUGGACCAAGAAUACCGGCUCUUUGGUAGUAAGAAGUAUUUAAUUUUGUAUACUUGUUGUAUCCACAGCAUCUAACAGUCUCGGCCACUUGGGGCUAUCCACCUCCAAAGAGAAGAGAGAAGGCACAUCAUCACCCAAACCUGCCAUCACGUUUAUUUUAACUGAACCUCAACUGAACUGCUCUUUCAAAUACAACAGCAAAGAAUGAAACUUUUUUAUAUAAGAACAAACAAAGACUGCUAGAUCAGAUAGUUUAAUUGCAUUUAAUAAAUGUGAUCUUGAUUAAUUCUAGGGUUGAUUCAUUUAAUUUAAUGAUCAAUGUUUCAAGUUUUUGUGAUUGUUUAAGUUAGUGUUCUUCCUCCAGUAAGGAAGGUCAAUAUCCCUCUAGGCCUUAGUAAGUUGUUUUUAUAUGUUUUGGUGGUUUGUUUCUGUGCCUCUUAAGAACUCUGGUUCCCUUCAAGACUGUGAAAGAUCCUCCUUUAAUCCUUUCCUUGUCAGCUGUAAAAAUUAAAAUUAAUGUCAAAUAAUAAAAAUGUUAUAUUUCAGGA